GUGUUUUGUUUACUAAGAGGAACUUCCUCUCUCUUUUAUUUGUUUUCCAUUUCCCUUUUGAAAUCUAGAGAUGAUGAUUGGAACAAAAAGUUUUAUCUCAUACCCCUACAUUUAUCCCUACAUCCCUAUAUUUCAUAAAAAUAUCAAUUUUAUCCUUAUAUAUUUUUAACUAAUUUAUUAUUUUAUUUUUAUUUUUAUUUUUAUUUUUAAAAAAAAAUUGUGUAUCAGAAGAC
rnacentral:lncRNA from 1 species